rnacentral:rRNA from 1 species
AUGUCGGCGGCGGUGGAGGGCGAGGGCCGGUGCAGCAAGCCCACGGUGGAGGUCGGGGUGGCGCACGUCGGGUGUGCGGAGGACGCGGCGGCGUUCGUGGCGCUGGCGGCGGCAGUGGACCUGAGCAUGGACGCGUGCAGGCUCUUCUCGCACAAGCUCAGGAAGGAGCUCUCGCACCUGCGGUCGGACGUCCUCCGGUGA